rnacentral:tRNA from 1 species
GCGGCCGUAGCUCAGCUGGAUAGAGCGCUUCCCUGCGAAGGAAGAGGUCAAACGUUCGAAUCGUUUCGGCCGCACCA